GGGUAGCCGGCCUGAGUUAGGGUGACCGGCCACACUGGGACUGAGACACGGCCCAGACUCCUACGGGAGGCAGCAGUGGGGAAUAUUGCACAAUGGGCGGAAGCCUGAUGCAGCAACGCCGCGUGAGGGAUGACGGCCUUCGGGUUGUAAACCUCUUUUAGCAGGGAAGAAGCGAGAGUGACGGUACCUGCAGAAAAAGCACCGGCUAACUACGUGCCAGCAGCCGCGGUAAUACGUAGGGUGCAAGCGUUAUCCGGAAUUAUUGGGCGUAAAGAGCUCGUAGGCGGUUUGUCGCGUCUGCUGUGAAAUCCCGAGGCUCAACCUCGGGCCUGCAGUGGGUACGGGCAGACUAGAGUGCGGUAGGGGAGAUUGGAAUUCCUGGUGUAGCGGUGGAAUGCGCAGAUAUCAGGAGGAACACCGAUGGCGAAGGCAGAUCUCUGGGCCGUAACUGACGCUGAGGAGCGAAAGGGUGGGGAGCAAACAGGCUUAGAUACCCUGGUAGUCCACCCCGUAAACGUUGGGAACUAGUUGUGGGGUCCUUUCCACGGAUUCCGUGACGCAGCUAACGCAUUAAGUUCCCCGCCUGGGGAGUACGGCCGCAAGGCUAAAACUCAAAGGAAUUGACGGGGACCCGCACAAGCGGCGGAGCAUGCGGAUUAAUUCGAUGCAACGCGAAGAACCUUACCAAAGCUUGACAUACACGAGAACCGGCCAGAAAUGGUCAACUCUUGGGACACCUCUGAACAGGUGGUGCAGGGUUGUCGUCAGCUCGUGUCGUGAGAUGUUGGGUUAAGUCCCGCAACGAGCGCAACCUUCGUUCUAUGUUGCCAGCACGAAAUGGUGGGAACUCAUGGGAAUCUGCCGGGGUCAACUCGAAGAAAGGUGGGGUUGACGUC
rnacentral:rRNA from 1 species